AUACGGAGGGUGCAAGCGUUGUCCGGAUUUAUUGGGUUUAAAGGGUGCGUAGGCGGCCCGUUAAGUCAGUGGUGAAAGGUAUCAGCUUAACUGAUGAAGUGCCAUUGAAACUGAAGGGCUUGAGUACAGACGAGGUAGGCGGAAUUUAUGGUGUAGCGGUGAAAUGCAUAGAUACCAUAAAGAACACCGAUAGCGAAGGCAGCUUACUAGACUGAGACUGACGCUGAGGCACGAAAGCGUGGGGAGCAAACAGAAUUAGAAACCCGGGUAGUCC
rnacentral:rRNA from 1 species